UGUAUUUUGAGAGCGGAUUAAAGUCUGUUGGAACACAGCGCCUUAGAGGGUGACAGCCCCGUAAAAUCUAUUCUCAUUGUAAGAUACUUUCGAAGAGUCGAGUUGUUUGGGAAUGCAGCUCUAAGUGGGAGGUAAAUUCCUUCUAAAGCUAAAUAUUGACGAGAGACCGAUAGCGAACAAGUACUGUGAAGGAAAGAUGAAAAGCACUUUGAAAAGAGAGUGAAAAAGUACGUGAAAUUGUUAAAAGGGAAGGGUAUUGAACCAGACUUGGUGCUGUUGUUCAACUGUGUUUUGGCAUAGUGUACUCAGCAGUACUAGGCCAAGGUGGGGUGUUUGGGAGUGAAAAAGAAGUAGGAAGGUAGCUCUUCGGAGUGUUAUAGACUACUUUCAUAGCUCCUUGGGCGCCUCAGGACUGCGCUUCGGCAAGGACCUUGGCAUAAUGAUUCUAUAC
rnacentral:rRNA from 1 species